rnacentral:rRNA from 1 species
GAUGAACGCUGGCGGCGUGCCUAAUACAUGCAAGUCGAGCGAACGGACGAGAAGCUUGCUUCUCUGAUGUUAGCGGCGGACGGGUGAGUAACACGUGGAUAACCUACCUAUAAGACUGGGAUAACUUCGGGAAACCGGAGCUAAUACCGGAUAAUAUUUUGAACCGCAUGGUUCAAAAGUGAAAGACGGUCUUGCUGUCACUUAUAGAUGGAUCCGCGCUGCAUUAGCUAGUUGGUAAGGUAACGGCUUACCAAGGCAACGAUGCAUAGCCGACCUGAGAGGGUGGUCGGCCACACUGGAACGUGGACCGGGUCCAGACUCCUAAGGGAGGCAGCAGUAGGGAAUCUUCCGCAAUGGGCGAAAGCCUGACGGAGCAACGCCGCGUGAGUGAUGAAGGUCUUCGGAUCGGAAAACUCUGUUAUUAGGGAAGAACAUAUGUGUAAGUAACUGUGCACAUCUUGACGGUACCUAAUCAGAAAGCCACGGCUAACUACGUG